AUUGAACGCUGGCGGCAUGCCUUACACAUGCAAGUCGAACGGUAACAGGUCUUCGGAUGCUGACGAGUGGCGAACGGGUGAGUAAUACAUCGGAACGUGCCUAGUAGUGGGGAUAACUACUCGAAAGAGUGGCUAAUACCGCAUGAGAUCUACGGAUAAAAGCAGGGGAUCGCAAGACCUUGUGCUACUAGAGCGGCCGAUGGCAGAUUAGGUAGUUGGUGGGAUAAAAGCUUACCAAGCCGACGAUCUGUAGCUGGUCUGAGAGGACGAUCAGCCACACUGGGACUGAGACACGGCCCAGACUCCUACGGGAGGCAGCAGUGGGGAAUUUUGGACAAUGGGCGCAAGCCUGAUCCAGCAAUGCCGCGAGCAGGAUGAAGGCCUUCGGGUUGUAAACUGCUUUUGUACGGAACGAAAAGCCCUGGGUUAAUACCCUGGGGUCAUGACGGUACCGUAAGAAUAAGCACCGGCUAACUACGUGCCAGCAGCCGCCGUAACAC
rnacentral:rRNA from 1 species